GCCUAACACAUGCAAGUCGAGCGGAAACGGCAGUAUUGAAGCUUCGGUGGAUUUACUGGACGUCGAGCGGCGGACGGGUGAGUAACGGCUGGGAACCUGCCCUGACGAGGGGGAUAACCGUUGGAAACGACGGCUAAUACCGCAUAAUGUCUACGGACCAAAGGUGGCCUCUACAUGUAAGCUAUCGCGUUGGGAUGGGCCCAGUUAGGAUUAGCUAGUUGGUAAGGUAACGGCUUACCAAGGCGACGAUCCUUAGCUGGUUUGAGAGGAUGAUCAGCCACACUGGGACUGAGACACGGCCCAGACUCCUACGGGAGGCAGCAGUGGGGAAUAUUGCACAAUGGGGGAGACCCUGAUGCAGCCAUGCCGCGUGUGUGAAGAAGGCCUUCGGGUUGUAAAGCACUUUCAGCAGUGAGGAAGGUAGUGUACUUAAUACGUGCAUUGCUUGACGUUAGCUGCAGAAGAAGCACCGGCUAACUCCGUGCCAGCAGCCGCGGUAAUACGGAGGGUGCGAGCGUUAAUCGGAAUUACUGGGCGUAAAGCGCAUGCAGGCGGUUUGUUAAGUCAGAUGUGAAAGCCCGGGGCUCAACCUCGGAACCGCAUUUGAAACUGGCAGGCUAGAGUCUUGUAGAGGGGGGUAGAAUUUCAGGUGUAGCGGUGAAAUGCGUAGAGAUCUGAAGGAAUACCAGUGGCGAAGGCGGCCCCCUGGACAAAGACUGACGCUCAGAUGCGAAAGCGUGGGUAGCAAACAGGAUUAGAUACCCUGGUAGUCCACGCCGUAAACGAUGUCUACUUGGAGG
rnacentral:rRNA from 1 species